rnacentral:tRNA from 1 species
GCGCGAGUGGUGAAAUGGGAGACACGCUAGUUUUAGGCACUAGUGCUUUUAGCGUAAGGGUUCGAGUCCCUUCUUGCGCA